rnacentral:tRNA from 1 species
GGGGGGCUGGCGCAACGGUAGCGCGUUUGACUCCAGUCCGCAGUGGCGAUCAAAAGGUUAUCGGUUCAAAUCCGGUGUCCCUCA